CGCAUCUUGAGGUGCGGACAGGGUGGGACCGUUUACCGUGAGCUUGAAGUGCGAGGCGGAGGCUGGAAGUUGGAACAUCGGGCUCAAAUCUCUAUGCAUUGUGUUGUAAAGCCAAUUCCUGAAUGAAUGUUAAAAAAAAUCUUGGGAGACCUGAUUUUCAUAGUGAGGAACUUAUACAGAACUAGGACAAUAAUGGUGAAGUUAAUCAACCUUUCAGAGCACACAGUAAUCACCAGAGGGGGAUCUACUCCGGAUCUCCAG